rnacentral:rRNA from 1 species
UACAGAGGUCUCAAGCGUUGUUCGGAUUCAUUGGGCGUAAAGGGUGCGUAGGCGGCGCGGUAAGUCGGGUGUGAAAUCUCGGGGCUUAACUCCGAAACUGCAUUCGAUACUGCCGUGCUUGAGGACUGGAGAGGAGACUGGAAUUUACGGUGUAGCGGUGAAAUGCGUAGAGAUGUGGAGGAACACCAGUGGCGAAGGCGACUCUUUGGCCUGUAACUGACGCUGGAGGCGCGAAAGCGUGGGGAGCAAACAGG